rnacentral:rRNA from 1 species
AGCCUUAAGAAUAUAUUUAAGGUUAAACCUGCCCAAUGAUAAAAUUUUAAUGGCCGCGGUACUUUGACCGUGCUAAGGUAGCGUAAUCAGUUGGCUUUUAAAUGGAGUCAGGAAUGAAUGGAAUAACCUGGUUUAACUGUCUUAAAGAUAUUUAAUUGAAUUUACCGUUUAGGUGAAAAGGCCUAAAUUUAGAAAAGGGACGAGAAGACCCUUAGAAUUUUUUAUAAGAAGAGUUGAUAUUCUUAGAUUAUUUUGUUGGGGCGACAGUUAGAUAUCUUAAAACUUUAAUUACAUAAUAACAAGACGAUUAUAAUAUGUAAGAAUAAAUUACCUAAGGGAUAACAGCAUAAUCCUAUAGAAGGGUUUGUGACCUCGAUGUUGGACUAGGAAACUAGCAGGCUAGUCGUUUGUUGUGUUGGUUCUGUUCGAACUAGAAAUCCU